GCGGGAGUUGCCAAGCCAGGUCAAAGAGACCCUUGGAGAAUGGGUCGUGGAAGCGCAGGCCUGAGGCGCCUGUCCCGUAGGGGUUCGUGGGUUCGAAUCCCACCUCCCGCACCA
rnacentral:tRNA from 1 species